UGUCAAUGUACAAUUUCUGAGAAAACAAA
rnacentral:piRNA from 1 species